AACGCGAAGAACCUUACCUGGGCUCGAAGCGCAGUGGACCGGGGUAGAAAUAUCCCUUCCUCGCAAGAGGCUGCUGCGGAGGUGCUGCAUGGCUGUCGUCAGCUCGUGUCGUGAGAUGUUGGGUUAAGUCCCGCAACGAGCGCAACCCUUAUUACCAGUUGCUACCAUUUAGUUGAGCACUCUGGUGAGACCGCCUCGGAUAACGGGGAGGAAGGCGGGGAUGACGUCAAGUCCUCAUGGCCUUUAUGUCCAGGGCUACACACGUGCUACAAUGGCCGGUACAAACCGUCGCAAACCCGUGAGGGGGAGCUAAUCGGAAAAAGCCGGCCUCAGUUCGGAUUGGAGUCUGCAACUCGACUCCAUGAAGCUGGAAUCGCUAGUAAUCGCGGAUCAGAAUGCCGCGGUGAAUACGUUCCCGGGCCUUGUACACACCGGCUAC
rnacentral:rRNA from 1 species